GACGAACCGUGCAAACGUUGUUCGGAAUCACUGGGCUUAAAGGGCGCGUAGGCGGGCAAGCAAGUCGAAGGUGAAAUCCCACGGCUCAACCGUGGAAGUGCCCCCGAUACUGCUUGUCUUGAGGGAGAUAGGGGCGUGCGGAACUUCCGGUGGAGCGGUGAAAUGCGUAGAUAUCGGAAGGAACACCGGUGGCGAAAGCGGCGCGCUGGACCUCUUCUGACGCUGAGGCGCGAAAGCCAGGGGAGCAAACGGG
rnacentral:rRNA from 1 species